rnacentral:rRNA from 1 species
AGAGUUUGAUCCUGGCUCAGGACUAACGCUGGCGGUGUGUCUUAGACAUGCAAGUCGAGCGGGGUUUCGAUAGCAAUACCGGAACCUAGCGGCGAACGGGUGAGCAAUGCAAGAGUAACGUACCCUCAGGAUGGGCAUAGCUCCGGGAAACCGGAGGUAAUUCCCAGUGUGACGGCUGAGUCGCAUGACAUGGCCGUGAAAGACGGAGCAAUCUGUCGCCUUUGGAGCGGCUCUUGACCUAUCAGGCAGUUGGCGGGGUAACGGCCCACCAAACCUUUGACGGGUAGUCGGCGUGAGAGCGUGACCGGCCACAAGGGAACUGCGACACGGUCCCUACUCCUACGGGAGGCAGCAGUCUAGAAAAUUGGGCAAUGGGCGAAAGCCUGACCCAGCGACACCGCGUGGGGGAUGAAGUUCUUCGGGAUGUAAACUCCUGUCAGGCGGAGCGAUGCUGCACAUAUUAACUGUAUGUGCAGUGACGGUACUGCCAAAGGAAGCACCGGCUAACUACGUGCCAGCAGCCGCGGUAAUACGUAGGGUGCAAGCGUUGUCCGGAAUUACUGGGCGUAAAGGGUGUGUAGGCGGUUGAGUAAGUCAAUGGUGAAAGCUCCGGGCUUAACCCGGAAAUUGCCGUCGAUACUACUUGACUUGAGGGCAGAAGAGGAGGUCGGAACUUUCGGUGUAGCGGUAGAAUGCGUAGAUAUCGAAAGGAACGCCGAUAGCGAAGGCAGACCUCUGGGAUGUUCCUGACGCUGAAACACGAAAGCUGGGGGAGCAAACAGGAUUAGAUACCCUGGUAGUCCCAGCCCUAAACGAUGUACACUAGGUGUUGCCCUUUUGGGCAGUACCGGAGCUAACGCGUUAAGUGUACCGCCUGGGGACUACGGCCGCAAGGUUGAAACUCAAAGGAAUUGACGG